rnacentral:rRNA from 1 species
GACGAACGCUGGCGGCGUGCCUCAGACAUGCAAGUCGAACGCGAAAGGUUCCUUCGGGAACCCGGUAGAGUGGCGCACGGGUGAGUAACACGUGGGUAAUUUGCCUUCGGGUGGGGAAUAACAGUCGGAAACGGCUGCUAAUACCGCAUAAUGCAGCGGCAUCAUAAGAUGACAGUUGUUAAAGCGGGGGAUCGUAAGACCUCGCGCCUGAAGAGAAGCCCGCGGCGGAUUAGGUAGUUGGUGAGGUAAUGGCUCACCAA